UGUGUGUGUGUGUGUGUGUGCGUGUGCGUGUGCGUGUGUGUGUGCGUGUGCGUGCGCGUGCGCGUGUGCGUGUGUGCGCGUGUGUGUGUGUGUGUGUGUGUGCGUGUGUGUUUUUUCCACGCACACUUUUAAUGGCGAUGCAAGCUGUUCUGGCCGCAGCUGAAAUUAACUUGAGUGAAAUAUAUUGUAAUCCGUGAUUAAAAAAUAAUAAUGAUAAUAAUAAUAAUUUGGUUAGCCCUUUUGCGACCGAGAGCUGUGUGAAGUUGGACGAGCACACUGGCCGCAGACUCGCUGUGAGACUCCGCCCCCGCAGUGGGCGUGGUCUGAAUGGGCCACGCCCCCAACCGGGGCACUGGCUGCACAGUGACCUUAUGGGGCAGCAGUGCGUCGUGGGAGGGGGGGGGUGGGAGGGGGGAGAGGGCAAUGGGACCGACCCUGUUUUCUCUCUCUCCACCCACCCACCCCCUCUCCAAUCUGCACUGGUCGUCCUCCGUCCUCAGACUGCUGAUAUGACUAACUGCCUUGGGGGGGAGUAGUCCUUUUCAGCAGUGCCCUACACACAUGCGCACACACACGCACUCACACGCACUCACACACACUCACACUCUCACACACACACACAUGCUCCCGCUGCGUUUGGCCACCAGUUACGCAGUUACACAUUUCACUGUUAUUACUGCUUGUUCUCUCGGGCCUGGCUUAAUUAACCCUUUGAAGGGCAGGUUUUUGCUUUUUUUUUUCCAGACUUGCGCGCGCGUGUUCUAGAACUCCACUGCUUUAAACACCGCCUGCAGUGACUGUGACAUCACCGUCGGAACGUUCAGUUAAGGGACGUUCCGAUCACACGUCUGUGACCUCACGCCUUUCAGGGCCAGUUAAAGCAGGCUUCUCGCUGAGCUGAAAGCAGGCAGACGGAGGGGGGGGCAGGGUGUCCCUUCUCUUCGCUGUGCCGGGGCGCACAGUUUUAGGCAGCGGGGGCCCGUCCCCACAGAGGGGAACGUGUUCCUCCUGGCGCCGCCUCGGCUGUGUGCUCCUCACAAUCCAGCAGAGUCGAAUAACGCAGUUAAACUUUCAGAACUCUUUUUCAUUUAAAAAUAAGAUUUUCUAAAAAUAAAAAAAGAGAACACAGCUUUACUCAUGUACAGGCGUCUUUGCUUGCCUUUCUGCUUUGAUGUCGGUUUUAUUAACGGUGGAUAAUUUAUUAACGGUGGAUAAUUUAUUAACGGUGGAUAAUUUGACUGCUGGACUGGAUUGGAGUGAAGAUUUUGGCAAGUUGCCUUAAUGCCAGCCCGACUGCUUUACCCCGCAGAUGACGCGCGUGGAGGGUAAAAUCCGUCGCUCCGUGGCACCUCGUCAUUGGUGACCUUAAGAACAAUGCUAGCGCUAACAAUACUGCGUUUAGUCACUGCGACGCUACAUCUGCUUAGCAUUUCGGAGGCAAGAGAGUGAGUGCAGUAACCAUAGAGACACACAGCAGCCCAUGAUGUUACUCACACCACACCUACGGCCUCCCGCCAGUGCUGCGGGAUUCCCCAGGGUCCUACACUCCCACCCACUUCUCUUCUUUAAAAAAUAAAAAAAAAAGAAGAAAUGGCGGCCAGUGUGCAAAUGUCUCUGCCCCCCUAGCCCAGUCAGCCCUGCCCCCCCAAAAAACCCCACCCCAAAAUCCCUCACUGGGUCUCAAUGAGGGAGGGGUCCCUGGCUGGUGAAAAAAUCACAUCCUCCCCCCAUCCCAAACCCUUACCUCUUACCCCACUACCCCGUAUACACCCCCCUCCCCCCCCCACCACCACCCAUGGUGUACAUCUCCCACCUGUGCCAAGAAUCUUAGCAAAAUCAUGAGUAUUAAUCCCCCCCCCUCUUAUUUUGACCUUUGACCCUAGUCACACUCCCACAGUGCACCUCAACCUGAGCAGGUGACCCUCUGUUCUCAACACCGCGUCCUCCCUGAGCCCGUUUCCUGUGCGCGCGCGUUGGGAGGGUGGGGUCUGAGAGCGCGCUCGGUAACCUUCCCCGAAUUGGCCGGGACCGUCCCGCGACUUCAGCCACAAAUUACUAUUUUAUUUAGUCUGUUUGGGGUGCGCUCUCUGCCCCCCUGUUUUCCUGUGUUCCCCAACACCGCCCCGUCGAUGGAAGACCGAGACACGUGCCGUGUGUCACCGAAUGGCACGGGCCGGGCCCGGGGGCUCACGGGCCUAAAUCCCCGGGGACGGAAAUCCCCCCCCCCCCCCAUGUGAAUUUGGUGAUGAGAGCAGAAGGUUCAUUUGGCGGGGGUGCCGGCCCUGAUCCCUGGGGGAGCACUGGGGAGGCUUCUCUAACGCUGCGGCUGUAACGAGGCGUGGGCCUGCCGUGAAGCUCGAUUCGGGACGUCCUGAAGCCGGCCCCUGUUUGGGCCCCCAGGUUUUGGGAUCGGUACUCCAAUGUGAAGUGCGUGAAGUGUCGUGGUGCCCCCCCCCCGCCCCCCUCUCCCCUCCUACCCCCCCCCCAACCCAACCCAACCCAUACCUCCCACCCCACAUGCACAGACACCCCCCAUUGAAGGCAUCCGCAGUAACAUGGUGGUUUGGAGUUGGUUGGUCUUCAUGGUGUUCUUGUGGUUCUGUGUGGUGGUCAUGUGGCUUGGUGUCGUUAUUUGCGCUCAACUGUGAUCACUGUUCGGGAGGUGCGGGUGGGGUGGAGUGGAGGAGGAGGGGGGAGGGGGUGGUGGUGGUUGUGGGUGAAGCAGAAGUUGGGGUGAACAGAAGGAGGACGAGGAGGAGGAAGAGGAGCACCCUGCCCGCCCGCCUCGCCCAGCCUCUCUGGAACCUUCUGAUUCCACUGCGUUUCCUGGGACCUGUCUGGCUGAUGGUGCAUUUCUUUCCUUUAUUUUGUUUCUCCUUUCUCUCUCUCUCCUUUUUUUUCCUCUCUUCUUUGGGACUUUUUAUAUGUGAUGUCAUACUUAGAGCCAUACUGUGCGUCAACGUGAUACUUGGUGUACAGGAAGAGAGAAAAAACAAGACAAAAAAAAAGGAAAAAAAAUAUGAACCAGACUAAAACAAACGAAGACAAAUGACUGAAAAAUGUAUUUGGUGAAUUUUCGAGGUGUUGGAGAUGAAGCCUCAGCCCCACGGUGAGACGUUUCGGUCUCUAUGCUGUUUCAGUCACACCGAAUAUGACCUGGGACGUGGCCCAAAGCAAUAACCCCCCCCCCACACACCUUUACCCCCCCCCCCCCCCCCCCCCCCAGCGCUCCGCUGCAGCUUUUUGGUUUUUUGGGACGUAGCUGCCACCUUCUCAUCCCGUUUGGGCUGUCUGUCCGGACGUGUCCCGCCCCGCGCCUCUCACACAGCUGGACUGCUCGCGCUGGUUCUUUCGUGUGUGAAGAUAUGACGGGGAGGUGAAGAGAGGAACAAAAUGGAGGAUUUAACCCUCUUGAAGAGUAGGCUUUUUUCUGAAUGUUUUUUUUUCUUUUUUCCAGAAUUCUAAGUCAACGUUCUAGAACCUGCUGUCCGCCACCAGUGAUUGUUACAUCAGCAUUAGAACGUUCAGUUAAGAGCAUUCUGUGAUGUCACACCUUAAAGGGUGAAAUCUCUAUUUGGCCUCUGUUCCUCCCCUCUUCCUUACCUUCUCCCCCCCCCCCCCCAUGACGUCUUGUCACUCAGGCACUCUGCGAGCCUUAAAGGAAAAUGACAUUUGGUUAUUGGGUAGCUUAACCCCCCCUCCCCAAAAUAUGUCUCACCUUUAACCUGCUUUUUGAGGGUUUUAUGACAGGGGAAGUGAGAAGUCUGUUUCUCUUCACCCCUCUCUCUCUCCCCCUCUUUCUCCAUGUGAAAAAAACAGUAUACUGUAGUAUGCUAAGCAUACUUGAAAUAGACUAAUUGUACUUCUAAGUACCCCCCGCCCCCGCCCGGUUCUGCAUCACUCUAACAGCCUCCUUUAAAAAAUAAAUAAGAAAAGAGAUUAUUUUGUCAUAUAAUUCACAUUUGUGGGGCAAGUGUGACAUUAAAACCCAUUUGUGGGCAAGGCCAGUGAUUCAGCGGCCUGCCAGGCUACAGACCCCAGACACAUUUUUUAAAAUUAUUAGAGUGGAGCAUAUUUCACUUUUGCAGGACGAGAGCCAUUAAGAAACAGAGCGUGAGCUUCUGGACUUCACAAGGUCACUUUCCACCUCUCUCCUCGUCCCAGCUCUGAAUUUCAGCCCCCGCUGUCCACCAUUUUGUCUUGGUCCUUUUUUUUGUUAAAGAAAGGUUGCUAUUUGGGUCAGUUAAGUGGGACACCAUAGCACACACCGCAGGGUUUUUUUUUUUUUUUUUUUCAUUUUUCUUUUAUACAUUUUUAAAUGACCUUUUCUUCUCUGUUCUGUCUGUAACUGCGAUAAGGAGCCUCUUGCUGUAAUUAGCCAGGAUGCUAAGGGCAGGGACUCAGUCGCACAGUACGGACAGGGUCAGGUCAUCGUGUUCUCCAUAAUUACCGCAAAGUAGUACGCAUCAGCUAUAAAGUGCUACAAAAAACAUUGUUCAUAAAGGUUCCUUUAUUCAAGGAACUCGAGACUUAAUUUUUAAUUUUAGGGAAGGCGUUUGAAGUGCCUGGGUGACAGACGAGCAGAUGAACUCACCGAAAAAUUAAAAUGGAGGCUUGGGUCGCGGCGGCGUCGCUGUCGCUGUUACGAAAUGCAAGAGUGUCUGACGGGUUUAAUCAUUCUGUCUUUCGUUUCAGGUGCCCCCUGGGUAGGUGUUUCUGCCCUGGGGGGGGGCAAACCUGUAACCAGUAAACACAACACGCUUCGAACGCAGUCUUUACUGAACACAGUUUCAGCUGAACACGGUAGUCCACAUCACAGGGCGCCCGCUGUCACCUGAGAGCAGGUGACUUCCCUUUCCUGCUUUUGUAAAAUGUAGAACGACCCCUGCCUUAAGUCUGCCAAGUCCAUCUUUUAGUAGAAGACUGGGAGGUGAGGUGUGUGAUAUUUGUUUUGUUUUUGUUUUUGUUUUUGGUGUGUGUGUAACUGUGACUUGAGGUUUAGACUGAAGAACCGUUUUGUUUCACUGUCUGGAUUUGUGUGUAUAUACUGCCCUCUAGCGACGUCAGCCUGAAAUAGCAAAUUCUUUUGUGAAUUAAAAAAAAAAAAUCCUUAUAAAACUGGCCAGUUGGAGUACCACAGUACUUAAAAACUUAGGUUCUCAUCGCCUGUCACACAGAAAUGUACAGAUUUGCAGAACUUUGCUAUUUAAUGUCACAUCCUUAGUGGUGGUUAUAGUUAAUAUUGGCAGACAUCGCUGUCUGUGACAUUUCCGUCCGUUAGCUAGAGGUAACACUAGAGUUGAGAUCUGAUAAUUCAUCUUCACAGUAUACAAGGACAAACAUUCCUUCUACAUUUUUCGAACACCACUUGCAGUGUUUUUCAGAAAAUAAUGAGGUUUUUUUUUAAAAGACUUUUAUUCUCUGGGAUUCCCAGGUUUCAACAACAAUGAUAAAGAUGAUCAGUGACGAUGAUUAAUGUUUGUAUUUCUAUUACAAUUGAGAUUAAAAAUGUUACAGGCCAGAUUGACAAUUUUUUCUGUCCUGCAAAAAACGAUUAUUUAAUCUAUGCAUGCCUUUUUAAAAAUUCCUAAUCUUUCCGAACACACCUGCAGAAUUGUAGAGAUCUCUGGGUGUCGUAGAAGCUGGUCAUGGGAGUGGGUGGGUUCUUGUCUGCCUACUUACGAACCAAUCAGUGCUCGGCGGGACAAGGAAGGAGGGGCUUAUUUCCAGCUGCAAUAAAAUGUGUUGUUGGAGAACUUUGUUGAAAUCAUUUGUCUUCCAGGGACUUUGUCUUAAUGGUGAUAUGUGUUCCAAGUAUGAUAAUUAUCUGAUACAAAAAAAAAGAGUUUACCCACAUAGGUAAAAAAUAAAAUAAAUGAAAUAUUCUGAACGUUUGUGAUAAAACAGAGCCUCACCGCGGUAUCGGUGCAUUUUUUGUGAUGUCACCGGAAACUCUUUCUCUGGCCAUUCGUUUCCUGCUCCGGCACUUGGGGAUUUAGUACCGACCUGAUCGGCGCCCCAUUCCUAGACCAUGGACUCUCCAGCUAGUAAUGUGUGACAAAAUGUCGUCUUCUGAACGAGAUGGUGCCAGGACCCCAAAGCAAACAGCCAGGAUUAUUGACUGCGGACUAGUCUGUGAACCGGGGACUUCACUGCCUCCCCAGCACCAAGAAGGCGGGGGGUGGGGGGUGGUGUUACCGGCGCAUGUGAUUGGCCGGAGGCAGCGUGGGCAUUCCGGAACCUUGUCAUGAGCACUUGGACACACACAGGAAACACCGUUUGAACGUGACUGUGUAUUUUUCUUCAGGAGAGAGGAAAGAAAGGAAACCGACAAAACAUAACAAAAGAAACAUUCAUGAUGUCUUUCCUUUUUGAAAACAUCAAGAUUACAUGCUGCUGCAAGAACCCAAAACAAACAAACAAACAAUAAAUACAUAAAUAAAUAAAAACAAAAACCAAUAAAUGAGUGGUUUAACAGUAUAAAGCUUCAA